AGGAUGAAAAGAGAGAGAAGGAAGGUAGGAACAGAGAAUCUAUCUCUAUUCUUUCUUUUCUCUCUGUUCCUACCUUCCUUCUCUCUCUUUUCAGAAA
rnacentral:pre_miRNA from 1 species